ensembl:lncRNA
CUCACUCCCACACAUUCACGCUCAUGUUUGCCAAGUCACAGGCCAAUGCCGGGGGAGGCAGAGCGGGAAGGGCCAGGUGGAAGGCUGCUCAGCACCAAUGACAACAUGAAACAGAGUUCUCAGGGCAGCGUCCAGACCCCACUCUGGCCACGGGGGAGCUGCGACGCUAUUGCUGAGCCUUGGCAUUCAUAGCAGACCUGAGGAUCCCACUCCAUCCUCCAGCAGGCCACCGGCCUCCCAGGAUCACCAUCCACCUUGUUCCCUGAAGGACCAGCAGAGGGCAGAGAGGAACAAAGCCCUGUGCUUCUGCCCAUAAUCGUCAUUGUUCUCACUGCGUCAUCAAAUCCCUGAGUGGAUGGGAGAGACUAGGUUAGAAGCCUCUGGCAGAACCCUGGUGCCCUCAGCACACGCCGGCCCCACUGCCUUGAACAGUGGGCAGUGGGCAGUGAGGAAGGCUGGCCCUGCCCUCCAGGACCUCCCAGGCCAGAGCAGACAAGUCCUCUCGGGUGAACUCUCUGCGACUCCCCUGCCCAGCUGUGCCCAGAUGGCUCCAGGGAGUGGAAAAUACCACCAUCUGGGGACAGUUCUGACUGUUUAGGUGCCACUUGUUUCCAAAGAAGGAUUGGACACAGCUGCUCCUCCUCCUGAUUCGCCCACACCUAUUGGCCGCAGCUCCUACUUCCCUCCUUGGGGACACAGAGUCGAACCCCACUUCUGCGUGACAGCCCUUCUCACGCUCGAGAGCAACAGUUCGGUGACCCUCUGAGUCUGCACUUUUCCACCUGAACAGCCCCAGUUCCUUCACCGGCUCCCAAUGUGAGGCGAUUUCAAGUCCCCUCACCUCCGUGGAUUUCUUCCAAAACAAGGCCCACGGGCACUACAGCUCUGCUGAAGUGUGUGGAGACAGGGCCCCCACAGCUAUAUUUACACAGGCUGCUUCUUCAGAUGAAACCAACCAAUUGUUCACUGAAACUGCUCAUUGGGCUGCUAAUUUUUCCACAGAACCUAAGUCGUUGCAGACAGACCAGCGAUGCUGACAGACAGGUGGGGCUUAUGACCAGCAGAGGCAAACAGGAGAACUCCCACACAGCUGGAGUCAAAUAUUCACAGAGUAAGUGAGGAUGAAUGAGAAGCUUACUUCUGUGACCACGAGACUCCCACGCUCAGACAGGAACGUCUUUACUCUCCUCUGAUCCAUCAGAGAAGGCUUUCUGGAGGAGGAGCUUCAUCUUGUUGGCUGUCUCAGAUGUGUUCCUAUCGGAGCAGAUGAUAAGUGAGAGGUCACUGAAGGUGAACACCUGCAGGUCCCCAGAUUAAUCACGUUGUGUUUGCCAAGUGUCACCGAAAGCACGUCUUAGAGACAACGCAUCUUCAUCAGGUCCAGCCCUGGCCUGCGACUUCCCAGAAGUGGAGCCUUGACCCACAACUUCACUUUACUUCUCUCAAGCGGGAUCCAACAGAGAAAAAUUCCGCUCUGCCAGCCCCUUGGAGAUCAAAUGAAAUCAUGAGAUGGAUCUUGGGAAAUUCUGAAGUACUUUAAGGACAUUGGACAUAAUUACUAUAAGCUUAAAACUCCUUGCAAACAAGUCUUCCUACAAUUUGUCUUCACUCAAUGCUUUUAAGCUCUGCAGUGUGCCCUUUUGAACACGUCCAAAUUCAGUUCAGCCUUCCAGGUUUUAUAGGUUCACAUUGUUUU